AUCUUUUCUGGUUUCCGACAGUGUAAACGACUCGUCCGAGGUACUUCUACAGACUGACUGGCUGGUUGCUGGAGGUGCGUGCGGACACAGCGAACUCGUACUUCUUCCCCUGUACAUGGGGGCAUGCUGCAGACUUGACAGCCUUGCAAGGGAUCUCUUCGCACUGCUGCCGUGCCUUGUUUUCUCACGUGAGAUCGGCACCACCACAGUUCGAAAGUUGACGAAAUUCGAGGUUUUAGCCGGCCUGUGACCGAAUAGAGAGGUGACGUCGUGACACGGAUUCAUUCAUAGAUGGUAACUGGCAUGCACGAAUAACAUUUUUUUUUCACCGUGACGUCACAACGUGUGGAGGUUAGCAUAUAUGCAAGCGAAGGAUUUUUAGCGGCAAUUAUUACCGGCCUUUAAGGUACCACGGUGGCAAAUCAACCAAUGAGCGCUGGGAUAGGGCAAAAAAGAGAUCGUAUUUGAGUGUACGCGUACGCUUGAAUUUUGUAUUUCUCAUUAGAAA